GAUGAACGCUGGCGGCGUGCUUAACACAUGCAAGUCGAACGAUGAAGCCAGCUUGCUGGGUGGAUUAGUGGCGAACGGGUGAGUAACACGUGAGUAACCUGCCCUUGACUCUGGGAUAAGCCCGGGAAACUGGGUCUAAUACCGGAUAGGAGCGCCUGUCGCAUGACGGGUGUUGGAAAGAUUUUUCGGUCAUGGAUGGACUCGCGGCCUAUCAGCUUGUUGGUGAGGUAAUGGCUCACCAAGGCGACGACGGGUAGCCGGCCUGAGAGGGUGACCGGCCACACUGGGACUGAGACACGGCCCAGACUCCUACGGGAGGCAGCAGUGGGGAAUAUUGCACAAUGGGCGGAAGCCUGAUGCAGCGACGCCGCGUGAGGGAUGACGGCCUUCGGGUUGUAAACCUCUUUCAGCAGGGAAGAAGCGAAAGUGACGGUACCUGCAGAAGAAGCACCGGCUAACUACGUGCCAGCAGCCGCGGUAAUACGUAGGGUGCGAGCGUUAUC
rnacentral:rRNA from 1 species